rnacentral:lncRNA from 1 species
GGCCCUUGGGUCUAAAUUUAUACCCUGCUCAAAGAGCUACAACCAGACACGACUAGAACUCGAAUUCCAAAUUAAACAGAAUCCGUAUACAAAACAAUUUAAAUAACUAAGGAAAAACAUAAAACUAUUCCCCCGUGACAACCUCGAACACCACCAUAGACCAAUCGACAACCUUCAAGUCUUCCUUCCGCGUCAUCGGCAGACUCUCCAUUGUAGCCAUCGGCAAAGGUUAAUGCCGGCCAUCGGCACAAACACAUCACCACCC